AUUGAACGCUGGCGGCAUGCUUUACACAUGCAAGUCGAACGGUAACAGGCCUUCGGGUGCUGGCGAGUGGCGAACGGGUGAGUAAUGCAUCGGAACGUACCCAGAGGUGGGGGAUAACGCAGCGAAAGCUGUGCUAAUACCGCAUGUGAUCUGAGGAUGAAAGCGGGGGACCGAGCAGCAAUGUUUGGCCUCGCGCCUUUGGAGCGGCCGAUGUCGGAUUAGCUAGUUGGUGGGGUAAAGGCCUACCAAGGCGACGAUCCGUAGCUGGUCUGAGAGGACGACCAGCCACACUGGGACUGAGACACGGCCCAGACUCCUACGGGAGGCAGCAGUGGGGAAUUUUAGACAAUGGGCGCAAGCCUGAUCCAGCAAUGCCGCGUGCGGGAAGAAGGCCUUCGGGUUGUAAACCGCUUUUGGCAGGAACGAAACGGUGUCCGCUAAUACCGGGCGCUAAUGACGGUACCUGCAGAAUAAGCACCGGCUAACUACGUG
rnacentral:rRNA from 1 species